AAACAAAGGAUUGACAUAAAUAAGAUUAAACAUUAUAAUAUAAUUGAAAAGGAGUAAUAAUUAUGGAGGGCCUUUGGAUCAAUAAUUAAUAGUUUAGGGGAGACUUUUCAAAAACAAAAUUAAGUUUCAAUUGACGGGAGCGUGAUUAAAUGGCAGAUGGUAGUCUCCUGGUACCAUCGUUUGUCGUGAAUGGCUAACUUGCUCCUCCGGCGAAGCUUAGAAGCUGUGAAUAGGUUUCCGGUGAAACUCAGUUGCAUUUCUACAGUCUACACACGAGUAAGAGAGAUAGAGGUCUCUGUGUUUUGGCUCUUGAAAAGAUAAAUAAAGACGGGGGCUAAAUUUAAAGUUCUAUCCUUCUUUGUUGUUUUCCGACAAUUGUUCCUCCGAUGGUAAGCUCCUCCGAUGGAUAGUUGAAGUAGUCUUAUAAACCGACAGAGCGGUGGUGACGAAAGUGAGGUAUAUGUGUUGCAAUUGCUAAACUAACUUUCCGGAGGCGUAACUGAGAUAUUUAAUGGCAGUUACGCUCACGUUUAGGCUGGAUCUGGAGGGUUAAGGUUCUUAAGUCCUCCGACGAGCUAAGCUUCUCCGACAGCGAACCAGUGGAAUGGGUGGAGUUAAUUUAACUGAUCCAUUCAGCAAGGUGAAGAAAACUGUUCCUGUGUGUGUGAUGUUAGCACUCGUGAAGACCGAUCAUAUCUUGAGAGAUUCCGGCGAAGAUUCAUUGUUUCUAAUCUCCGACGAUGCUGUCUAUUUCUAGUUCAUUUUCCUGCAUAAAGACCGAUAGCACUAGACCUUCUGUUAAUGGAGAUUUCAUGCUUAGGCUGUAAUUGACAUAUACAUUUAAUUUGUAGUAUUUCUAACAAAAGAGUUUAGAGAGAGAUCAAGUGAUCAGUAAAGCUUGGCGAGGAGAUCAUGGGCGGAACCGGGGUUCCUUAUGUUCAUAUGUUCGACUUUUCCGGUUAAGCUAAUCUCGAUAGCGAGGUUCGUAUAGUCGUUCCUGAUUGGACGCGUCAUGAUAUCACCAUUAAUGAGCAUUGAGGGAAACGUUGGUGAGGAGGAUAUUGUGAAUGAUUUUGACCAUUUUGUUCUUCCUUUCAUUUAUUUAUGGUUGUGAGGGAGUAAUUUUCAAAAUGAAUUAUUAACUAUUUAUUUAUUUAUGGUGGUGUAGCGGUUAUAGUUAUAGUUAGUAUUAUGAAA